AUGUGCCACGCGUACGCUCCGGCCGCUCCGCGGCGUCCACAUCCACCUGACGACUGCGCGCUACGUUGUGUUCGCC
rnacentral:sRNA from 2 species